GUAACGGCGAGUGAAGCGGCAACAGCUCAAAUUUGAAAUCUGGCUCUCGGGCCCGAGUUGUAAUUUGUAGAGGAUACUUUUGAUGCGGUGCCUUCCGAGUUCCCUGGAACGGGACGCCAUAGAGGGUGAGAGCCCCGUCUGGUUGGAUGCCAAAUCUCUGUAAAGUUCCUUCGACGAGUCGAGUAGUUUGGGAAUGCUGCUCUAAAUGGGAGGUAUAUGUCUUCUAAAGCUAAAUACCGGCCAGAGACCGAUAGCGCACAAGUAGAGUGAUCGAAAGAUGAAAAGCACUUUGAAAAGAGAGUUAAAAAGUACGUGAAAUUGUUGAAAGGGAAGCGUUUAUGACCAGACUUGGGCUUGGUUAAUCAUCUGGGGUUCUCCCCAGUGCACUUUUCCAGUCCAGGCCAGCAUCAGUUUUCCCCGGGGGAUAAAGACUUCGGGAAUGUGGCUCUCUUCGGGGAGUGUUAUAGCCCGUUGUGUAAUACCCUGGGGGGGACUGAGGUUCGCGCAUCUGCAAGGAUGCUGGCGUAAUGGUCAUCAACGACCCGUCUUGAAACACGGACCAAGGAGUCGUCUUCGUAUGCGAGUGUUCGGGUGUCAAACCCCUACGCGUAAUGAAAGUGAACGCAGGUGAGAGCUUCGGCGCAUCAUCGACCGAUCCUGAUGUUCUCGGAUGGAUUUGAGUAAGAGCAUACGGGGCCGGACCCGAAAGAAGGUGAACUAUGCCUGUAUAGGGUGAAGCCAGAGGAAACUCUGGUGGAGGCUCGCAGCGGUUCUGACGUGCAAAUCGAUCGUCAAAUAUGGGCAUG
rnacentral:rRNA from 1 species